CGUGUACCAGUGGGGUCCCUUGGCCUGGCCUGUGGGAAUUGGCCCAAAACCCACAGUGCAACUUCCCCUGAGGGUGCAGGCCAGGCCGAGGGACCUCACUGGUGCACG
rnacentral:pre_miRNA from 1 species